rnacentral:rRNA from 1 species
AUGUUCAUGAUUAAAUCCAAUGCUUAUACUAUACCUCCUACUUCCAUUCUACAUUUUUGUAGCAAUGUAGAUGUCGACCGUAGUUGGAUGUACAAAGAGAGACGAGGGAAGUUGAUCAGUGAUGCUUGGCAACAUGGAGUAGAUAAUUUCCUAGAUCAUGCAUUCUCAUUGCCCGAUGCUGCUGUAGAUGGGAAAUCCCAUUGUCCUUGCAGCAAGUGCUUUUGCGGUCAUAAGUGGACAAGGGAUGUCAUGACCACACACUUGUGCAGCAAUGGGUUCAUGUUAGGAUAUGAGAGAUGGACUAGCCACGGGGAGUCUGAUGCACCUGAAAAUGUAGAGCAUGAUAACGUGGGGGAUGGAGAUAGAAUGAAUGACAUGCUAGUUGAUGCAAUUGUUGCUGAAGGAGUUUCUAAAGGUGAUGAGCCAACAAAAUCUGCCAAAUAA